rnacentral:lncRNA from 1 species
UCUCAUGUAUUUACUGUAGGCAUGGAAGAUCGAGCAGGAAAGAUUAAAGGAGGACGAACAAUCCAAAAAGACUAAGAAAGAAAAAGGAGGAAAAGCAACACCGAAAGUAGGAGAGAGAAUCGACUCAGUAAAGGAAAACAAGAAGACUCCGCUGUCCUCAAAAAAGAGUAGAGACAACAUGUCCAAAACACCCAGCUCGGCUACACUACAUAGAGACAAGACCAGAGACAUGCUAGAGACGCCUCAAGAACCAGCAAAUGAGAUUAGAACAAAUGUUUUCACAGGCUACAGUUUAAAUGGAAAACUGGUACAGGUUGCUGGCAAAGUUCAGUCUCUCUAUCCCUGUGAUGGAGGACAAAUUGAUGUGGAGAGUUUUCACUUCACACAAGGGCUGACACAAGUGAAAGUAUGUGUAAACAAGGAUGGCCAUCACUUCUACACACACAUUUCAGAGAGAAAAAAAGA